rnacentral:rRNA from 1 species
CCUACGGGUGGCAGCAGUGGGGAAUAUUGCACAAUGGGGGAAACCCUGAUGCAGCGACGCCGCGUGAGUGAAGAAGUAUUUCGGUACGUAAAGCUCUAUCAGCAGGGAAGAAAAUGACGGUACCUGACUAAGAAGCCCCGGCUAACUACGUGCCAGCAGCCGCGGUAAUACGUAGGGGGCAAGCGUUAUCCGGAUUUACUGGGUGUAAAGGGAGCGUAGACGGCAGCGCAAGUCUGGAGUGAAAUCCCAUGGCUUAACCAUGGAACUGCUUUGGAAACUGUGCAGCUAGAGUGCAGGAGAGGUAAGCGGAAUGUCUAGUGUAGCGGUGAAAUGCGUAGAGAUUAGGAGGAACACCAGUGGCGAAGGCGGCUUACCGGACUGUAACUGACGUUGAGGCUCGAAAGCGUGGGGAGCAAACAGGAUUAGAUACCCGUGUAGUC